rnacentral:rRNA from 1 species
GUAGUUUGUGGCUCAGAUUGAACGCUGGCGGCACGCUUAACACAUGCAAGUCGGACGGCAGCACGGGUGCUUGCACCUGGUGGCGAGUGGCGGACGGGUGAGUAAUGCUUAGGGAUCUGGCGCGAAGCGGGGGGACACACGGGGGAAACUCGUGCUAAUACCGCAUAAGCUCUGAGGAGUAAAGAUGGCCUCUAUUUAUAAGCUAUCGCUUUGCGAUGAACCUAAGUCGGAUUAGCUAGUUGGUGGGUAAAGGCCUACCAAGGCGACGAUCCGUAGCUGGUCUGAGAGGACGAUCAGCCACACUGGGACUGAGACACGGCCCAGACUCCUACGGGAGGCAGCAGUGGGAAUAUUGGACAAUGGGGGCAACCCUGAUCCAGCGAUGCCGCGUGUGUG